CUGCGCAGGCCUAACACAUGCAAGUCGAGCGGAUGAGGGAAGCUUGCUUCCCGAUUUAGCGGCGGACGGGUGAGUAAUGCCUAGGAAUCUGCCUAUUAGUGGGGGAUAACGUUCCGAAAGGAACGCUAAUACCGCAUACGUCCUACGGGAGAAAGUGGGGGAUCUUCGGACCUCACGCUAAUAGAUGAGCCUAGGUCGGAUUAGCUAGUUGGUGGGGUAACGGCUCACCAAGGCGACGAUCCGUAGCUGGUCUGAGAGGAUGAUCAGCCACACUGGAACUGAGACACGGUCCAGACUCCUACGGGAGGCAGCAGUGGGGAAUAUUGGACAAUGGGCGAAAGCCUGAUCCAGCCAUGCCGCGUGUGUGAAGAAGGUCUUCGGAUUGUAAAGCACUUUAAGUUGGGAGGAAGG
rnacentral:rRNA from 1 species